GACGAACCGUGCGAACGUUAUUCGGAAUCACUGGGCUUAAAGCGCGUGUAGGCGGGCCGGCACGUCGGUCGCUGAAAGCCCCCGGCUCAACUGGGGAGGGUCAUUCGAUACUGAUCGACUUGAAGGCAGGAGAGGGAAGUGGAAUUCCGGGUGUAGUGGUGAAAUGCGUAGAUAUCCGGAGGAACACCAGUGGCGAAGGCGACUUCCUGGCCUGUUCUUGACGCUGAGGCGCGAAAGCUGGGGGAGCAAACGGG
rnacentral:rRNA from 1 species